rnacentral:misc_RNA from 1 species
AAGUCGUAACAAGGUUUCCGUAGGUGAACCUGCGGAAGGAUCAUUCAAAAUCAAGUGUUUUAUGGCACUUUUUAAAAAAAUCCAUAUCCACCUUGUGUGCAAUGUUUUUUUUUCUCGAUUCCUGGUAACAAGGGAAAAGAGAGAAAUAAUAUCAACCUAGUCUUGAACUACUUUGUCUGAACAAAUAUUAUGAAUAUAAUUCAAAAUAUAACUUUCAACAACGGAUCUCUUGGCUCUC